UACGUAGGGUGCGAGCGUUGUCCGGAAUUAUUGGGCGUAAAGAGCUCGUAGGCGGUCUGUCGCGUCGAUCGUGAAAACUUGGGGCUUAACCCUCGGCGUGCGGGCGAUACGGGCAGACUUGAGUACUGCAGGGGAGACUGGAAUUCCUGGUGUAGCGGUGGAAUGCGCAGAUAUCGGGAGGAACACCAAUGGCGAAGGCAGCUUGCUGGGACGGUACUGACGCUGAGACGCGAAAGCGUGGGGAGCAAACAGG
rnacentral:rRNA from 1 species